CCCAAUCGAUCUCUCUCUCUCCCGCACAUCUCUCUCGCGCGCGAGCCGCCGCCGCCUGCGUUCUUCCACAUCCGCCGCCGCCGCCCCCAUCCUCUGUGUCCGCCGCCGCCACCACAAAACAUCCUCCCCGUCCGCCGCCGCCAUGCCAUCGCCGCCACCUACCGGACGGCGCUGUGAAGGAAGCGACCAGAGAGGGAGGCGUCGCCGGUGUCGUCAAGCCAUGCGGGCGCAACACCUUGUGCGUGUGCCUCCGUGGGUUCUUGCCGCGUUCGCCGGAGGCGUAGGCGUCGCGGGUCAACUGCGUAGGGGGGGAUGGGCGUGCGCCAAUGCCGCUCUUCCCCGACACGACGGCCACCGUUCUUCCUUGGCCGGGCCGUGGUCAAGUGCUUCUUCAACCUGGGCUGCACGCUGAGAGGAGCCCCCGGCCGCAUGCUUCUUCUUGCACUCCACCAGGAGAGACCUCGACGAUGCCAAGAUCUGCAAUGGCCUGAAGAACGAGGCAAUUCUUGGAAGCAACACAUACAUGUGAUCUCUCUUUCACUAUGAUUUCAAGGUUGUUUCUCUCCAUAUUCCAUCCCUCUCACAUUUUUUUUCUUUUCCUGGGCUUUUACUUUAUCAUGUGUGUGCUAUGCUACUGACAAAAUAUCUAAUUCUGGUGCUUAUCAUGUCUAUGUAAGCGUUAUGUUCUCCUUUGUUUAAUCUCAUUAUUGCUAUGCAAAGGGAAAUCAAGGAUUACUUUUCUUGGUACAUAUGCAGUGUAUUUUUGUUUCGAGUAGUAACAUUUCAGUUAGAGGUUAGAUGAAUCAUCAAAGUACAGUACAAUUUUUUAUCGUCCGUGAAUCUUCUUCUUUCCCUGUUUGUUGGCCUGCGGACGUGCUCUUGAGGCCGCUGAUCCCAACUUAGGCUGCCGCCACUUGGUGCUCAGUAGGAGAGGCACAAUGUCUCCGUGGAGCCGCAGUGGAUAGCAUGGUCUUGUCGCCACGCUGGGGGCCCAGCGGCAGCGCAUAUCCAGUCCAGAUCCGCUGAUUUCAGAUCAAUGGAUCACCCCAGUUCAUCUUCCCACUCGCUUAUUUUCUCCUCACACACAUAUCCCUGCAAAUUAGACUAUUUUUUUUACAUCUCUUCAUUCCAGUGGCGCAAUUUGCCAUUUAGUGCUAAUUAGUUUACACUGAUUUAUGUCAGAUCUAACCAUAUUGAAUCAUUAACUGAUGGAGGAUUUGGAUGCUCCACACACUGUUCCGAUAUCACACCAGAACUUUAGCUUUCUCGGGAAUGUGACGAUGGAUUUCAUGAAAUAAUUCAUCGAAGUGACUGUCGAUGAUCUACAGGUAUAUCAGUGUCAAAUGGCAAAAGAAUGCCUCAGGACAGUUAUUCAUCGCGAACAAGUGAACGACAAAAUGCAGGAUCAAGUACAUAUAGUGAUCUUUUGUUUUUUUAUCCUUCAAACAACCAAGUACAUUGAUUUCUCGUGGCUCCGUUUUCACUUUUACACGGAAAUUCUCUUUCAACAGAAGAUUUGCGUGACCUUUGUACUCUUCAUGAACAAGUCAGUGCGAGAGCAAGUUGCAUGCUAUAUGAACUAAGGGCAAAUUCGUGUUCUUUUCAUGGAUGUUGCAGGAACGGGUGAACUAAGGGAAAUAACAUUGGUGUUCUAAGAUAUAUUGAGAUUAGCCUUGAUAGCUGGAUGUCAUUGUGGAAAACAUUUAAGACGUGUGCACCGGCUGUUUAAAAAUACCUAAUGAUUGGUGGUGAUGCAAGAGUGUAGCAGACUCGAUGCGGCGACCGGGUCGCUCCUGAAUGUGGUGAAGUAGUGCCACCUGGCCGGUGAAGUGGCUAGCAGCAGGAAGUCCGUCGUCGACAUCGUCGAGAUUCGCUUCAAGGACGGCGCCUGGAAGAUGCUCAACGACCAGAUCGUCGUCUCGUCCUCUCCAAGAGAAGGGGACAACUCAAGCAGGUAUGUUGCAGCAAUUGAAUGCUUCAAAGGAUUUUAGUGGAGUUCAUUGUAGUUGGGUUGCGAAUCUCCAACUUGCUUCCAUGUCUUUUCUCACUGGAGACACCUCCCGUCGACGAUGGCGAUGACCGCUACCCUUCUCCUCUCCCAGCAAAGUCAGGUCUACCUCUCCUGUGAAGAUGUAGCAGAACACAUGUUCGUAAUUGAUACACCUAGGCUCAGCUUCUCUAUUGGUAUGAAGGCGUGGAGCGUGAUUCUCUUGUUUUCAACUCGAGGCGAUCAGGCCAGUAAACAUGCUAAGCUUGCCUGGCUGGCACACACGCUUAGGCACAACAAUCGGCCCCGGCACCGCGCGCCAAGGCGCGCUGCAGCUUCUGGCUCUUUUGCUCCCAAGCUGGCCUCGCUUUCCUCGGUGGUCAGCGGGAGAAGCAUGAGGCGCUGCACCUCUGACCCCGUAGUGCUCAGCUCCAAUUCAUCAGGGAGGCCAGCGGCAAGCAUCAAGUUUCCCUUGGUGCUUCCUCAUCAAGGAGGACGACUCGGGCAGCGCCGUCCUCAAGGUUGCUGUCACUCCUCGGCACUCCGCAGGAUAGGCACAUCCGCCACCACACCGCAGAACAGACGAGGAUGUGAUGCUCCUCCUUCUUGUGGUGUAUGUGUUGGCGUGGCUUGCCGUAGUGAGGCAUAUCCUCGUGGGCAAUGCUAUUUGAAGACCAUUCAAGUGAUUUAAAAGAGAAAAUGUCCAGAAUGUAAGGAAGUUGAAGAUGACGAUCAAAAGAUUGACAUAUUAAGCGACUGCCAAGAUGCCAAUAAUGCUUGCCCCUGCCAUUAGUAAUACCCUUGCUCUUCUUUAUGAAAUCUUUCCUAUUAUAUAUUGAUGCAUCAACUAUCGGUGCAGAUUGCGAGAUCCCUAUUUAAAUGCAUCACUCAGUGGCUGGCCCGUGCAUAUGUGUUCCCACCCAUCUUAUCAAUUGUAGGCUUAGAAUGAUUUGCUUCGUCCAAGUGUUGUUCGUCAACAAUUCCUUUGCGUAUGUCCCACCCAUCUUAUCAAUUGUAGGCUUAGAAUGAUUUGCUUCGUCCAAGUGUUGUUCGUCAACAAUUCUUUUGUUUGUUCAUGUCGAUUCUGGUUUUAGAGGACACAUAUAUUUUGGUAGGAAGUGUCU